AGUGAACGCUGGCGGUAGGCCUAACACAUGCAAGUCGAACGGCAGCACAGUAAGAGCUUGCUCUUACGGGUGGCGAGUGGCGGACGGGUGAGGAAUACAUCGGAAUCUACUUUUUCGUGGGGGAUAACGUAGGGAAACUUACGCUAAUACCGCAUACGACCUACGGGUGAAAGCAGGGGAUCUUCGGACCUUGCGCGAUUGAAUGAGCCGAUGUCGGAUUAGCUAGUUGGCGGGGUAAAGGCCCACCAAGGCGACGAUCCGUAGCUGGUCUGAGAGGAUGAUCAGCCACACUGGAACUGGGACACGGUCCAGACUCCUACGGGAGGCAACAAUGGGGAAUAUUGGACAAUGGGCGCAAGCCUGAUCCAACCAUACCGCGUGGGUGAAGAAGGCCUUCGGGUUGUAAAGCCCUUUUGUUGGGAAAGAAAAGCAGCAGGUUAAUACCCCGCUGUUCUGACGGUACCCAAAGAAUAAGCACCGGCUAACUUCGUG
rnacentral:rRNA from 1 species